UACGUAGGGUGCGAGCGUUGUCCGGAAUUAUUGGGCGUAAAGGGCUCGUAGGCGGUUUGUCGCGUCGGGAGUGAAAACCUCGGGCUUAACUCGGGGCUUGCUUUCGAUACGGGCAGACUAGAGGUAUGCAGGGGAGAACGGAAUUCCCGGUGUAGCGGUGAAAUGCGCAGAUAUCGGGAGGAACACCAGUAGCGAAGGCGGCACUCUGGGCCGGUACUGACGCUGAGGAGCGAAAGCGUGGGGAGCAAACAGG
rnacentral:rRNA from 1 species